rnacentral:misc_RNA from 1 species
UGGUGAAUCCUUUCAUCUUACCUAAAGAAGCUUAGGUUCCUUAUUCUAAAUAUUGUAAGGAUGAAGAUGGAAAAAUCUUCAAAAUUGAUCUCAUUACCAGAACGCCCAUUUGAAUGCAGUUCUUUCCUAACUAUAUUGUCUGGACAACAGUCAUUAGCACAGAUCUUUCUAACAAAUACUUGUUGAUUGGAUUUGAUGUAUAUUAAAAAGCUUAGAGGUUUCAAAUUUUUCCUACCAUAUUAAAGUUCAAAAGGCUUUUUUAAGUCUUAUACAACAAUCUAA